GCCCUAGUAGCUUAACUAAAGCAUUGGUCUUGUAAACCAAAGACUGCAGACUAACCUCUGCCCAGGGCU
rnacentral:tRNA from 1 species